rnacentral:rRNA from 1 species
UACGGAGGGGGUUAGCGUUGUUCGGAAUUACUGGGCGUAAAGCGCGCGUAGGCGGACCAGAAAGUUGGGGGUGAAAUCCCGGGGCUCAACCCCGGAACGGCCUCCAAAGCUCCUGGUCUUGAGUUCGAGAGAGGUGAGUGGAAUCCCGAGUGUAGAGGUGAAAUUCGUAGAUAUUCGGAGGAACACCAGUGGCGAAGGCGGCUCACUGGCUCGAUACUGACGCUGAGGUGCGAAAGUGUGGGGAGCAAACAGG